UUGGCAAUUCAAUUCUCAAGAGUACAUCAAUAGAUGGGAAAAAUGGCAAUUCUCGAAAAUUCAUCAAAUAAGAAAAUAAUACAAACAGCCAAUAUUUCACCUAUUUCUUUAAUCAAAAGUCUGGCUUCUUCUUCUGGAAGCCCACAAACAGCUGGAGUUGGAUGCAGAGCAGCCAAGAUGUCAAAAUGUAGAUAAAAACACCAAAGAGUCAAACCCACUGUGAAGAAAAGAAAAAUCUGGAGAUAACAUUCACAACCCUUAACUUCAAGCUAUAUAGAUGAACAUACUAUUUAAAAUACUAUUAUCUCACUUCAUCUUCUCUCCUCAGCUUUCCCGCCAAUUUAGAAUAUAGGUACUGCAGUCUUGUAAGCUUCUUCACAGGUUUUUGUCAC
rnacentral:lncRNA from 1 species